GUAUAUAUAGCUCAGUGGUAAAGUGCGUGCUUAGCAUGCACAAGGUCCUGGGUUCAAUCCCCCGUACCUCCA
rnacentral:tRNA from 1 species